AAGAAACAUUUGCCUUCAACUGCAAGACAAGAACGAAAUUCCACACCAGAGUUCCCAAACACACAGUCCCCUGAAGGAAACAAACAAACAAAAUAAAACAUGGAAACAAAUCAGGCUGGGAACUUGAGCAUACAUCAGAUGAGCAGGGCAGGAGCCGAAGACCUCCCACCCCAUCCCAUCCCCAACCUGCUGCUGACCAUUGCAAAUUGAUGAAGCCCCUGCUGGGUUGAUACCAUGGUGCUGAUUGAGAACUCCCAAGGGAGACUGCCCUCCCACCAUCUCACCUGAAGGAAACAGGAUCACCAGGAAGAAGAAGACAGUUGGAAGAUACAGGUUCAUGGCUGCCUAGGGCACAGAGCUGCUCCUCCCCUGGCUGGCUGGUGGGGAGGUGGCUUUAUAGAGCCUGGCUGAGAUGGGUGGGGCUGGACAGUGGCCUUUUUCUUCCUGGGAGCAUACAGCUUCUGCAGGGUUGGAGGAAGAACAACCCUUUGUCAUUCAGCAUGCUAGGCAACUGCCUCCUUUUCUACAAACCACCCGAGAGGAAAGGGCUCAGCUAGGAGCAAAAUGUUUCCCCUGAGCAAAGCUAGACUGGAAACCAGGCUCUUCAUGCCUGGCCCCAAUACAAUUCCUCUCACACCUCAAAAAUGUAGGGUUAGGGUCUACACUGGUCUUCCUUCCCUCCUUAGUCCCUCUGAGAAAUCAGGGAAGUGCUUGUCAUAAAACACAGGCUUAACUCAAGAUGGGGAAGGGUGUAGGCAAGAACUCCGUGCAGGGGCUCACGGAUGCAAAGCAUCUCAAGGUGUCCACUGUGCCUGACCCAGGUGCUCAGAAAGUGCAGAAGGGAGGCUUCUUCCUCUUCUGGUGGCCUAUUGAUCCACCUGGCUCAAGGGCAGACACUGUAGGAAAUUCCCCAGUAGACUACCUAGAUGGGCUUCAUUUUCCAAAUAGCCGUACGAAAUGUUGGCUAGGACGUGGGGACUUUGAGGGGUCUGGGAGAAGUUCCCACUUUGGAGUGGAUGAACUGGUCUCUUGCCAGGAGAGCCAGCGUCCUGCUGAGCACAAGGAUGGGUGCCCAGAGCCAGAGUAGAGCUUGACAAUGUUUCCCUGGAGCUAGAGACACAGUUCUGGGAAAGGAUCAUUAGGCUCUACCCCCUAGGGGCAUGGAUGGGUGACUGAUACUGGAGAAGAAGCUAAAUUUGAUUUUAUUCUUCCCCUUGAGGCAGCCUUGUACCUCCCCAGCCCUCACAAUAGGACUCUGAAUCUGCAGUGUGAAUCUGCAGUACAGCUUGGUUUUAUUCAGCAUAGCGGGCGUCUAUCCUCUGGGUCAUUGUUCAUUGUUUAUCUCAGAUUCCUUUUCUCAUAGAGUGCACUGUUCUUAGAAGGAUUUUUUUUUUUUUAGCAUGAAAUGAGGUAGAACUCACAAUAGGCUUUGUAGGCAUACCUUUGGUCCUGGUUAUUAAAGUCUGUCCCUGUACUUCUCCCUCCCCCUUGGUUCCUUUCUGAUCUCCUUUUGAUUUGCAUGAGAUCUGCCCCCAGAUCUUUUCCUUUUUUUCUCUCUACUUUCCAUGCAGGAGAGAAAACCUUCUGAGUUUGACUUAUUUCACUUAAUAUGAUGGUCUUUUAGUUCCAUCCAUUUUCCUGCAAAUGACAUGAUUUUCAUUUUUGUUUACGGCUGAAUAAAACU
rnacentral:lncRNA from 1 species